rnacentral:rRNA from 1 species
UCCUACGGGAGGCAGCAGUGGGGAAUAUUGGUCAAUGGGCGCAGGCCUGAACCAGCCAAGUAGCGUGAAGGAUGACUGCCCUAUGGGUUGUAAACUUCUUUUCUAUGGGAAUAAAGUUUUCCACGUGUGGAAUUUUGUAUGUACCAUAUGAAUAAGGAUCGGCUAACUCCGUGCCAGCAGCCGCGGUAAUACGGAGGAUGCGAGCGUUAUCCGGAUUUAUUGGGUUUAAAGGGUGCGCAGUCGGACCAUCAAGUCAGCGGUAAAAUCGUGGGGCCCAACCCCAUCCCGCCGUUGACACUGGCGUU